UAGAGGUCUUCAUAUCAGAGGCAGAAGUGUUUUAUAAAAAUUAAAUGAGAAGAAUGCAUGUGAAAAUGCCUAACAUGGUGUUUGGCACUGUAUCAGUCUGUUUUCACGCUGUUGAUAAAGACAUACCCAAGACUGAGCAAUUUACAAAAGAAGAAAGUUUAACUGGACUCACAGUUCCACGUGGCUGGGGAGGCCUCACAAUCAUGGCAGAAGGCGAUGGACGAGCAAGUCACAUCUUAAGUGGAUGGCAGCAGGCAGAGAGAGCUCAUGCAGAGAAACUCCUGUUUUCAAAAACCAUCAGAUCUUGUGAGACCCAUUUACUAUCAGAAGACCAGCACAGGAAAGACCAGCCCCCAUGAUUCAAUCAUCUCCCACCGGGUCCCUCCCACAAAACCUGGGAAUUAUGGGUGCUACAAGAUGAGAUUUGGGUGGGGACAUAGAGCCAAACCAUAUCAGGCACAUAGCUGAUACACUCCUUCUUUAAGAGGGUAGAAUAUGGUAUAUAUUGCAUUAUUCAGUACUAAAAGAGCUCAGAAUGACAUUGUUUAACCCGUGGUAUUUGCCACCUCCAAUCCAAGGAGCCAUAUUCCAGAGUUACAAGAGAAAGAGAAAACAUUUCAAGUUGAUGCCUGCGUUUCUAGGUAGAAUCACAUGAUGACUUCCUUCCCGUUAUUAUAGCCCUGGCUCCCUGUUAGUCAGGGAAGAUGAACCUAGAGGAAGUAGAAGGAAGAAGAGUGACAUGCAGGAAGCUUCCCUAGAAACAUUCUCAUUAGCCUUCCUUGGGUCUGUGCCUCGAUACACCAGCCCAUCAUCAUCAUGAUCAUCAACACCAUUAUCAUCAUCAUUGUGCUCUGUAGCAGCCACAGACCUGGCAGUUCUCAAUGGCCAUUUACAGAAUGCCCACAUGUGCUGGGCUCUGUGAGAGACUAUACAGACACUGGACAAUCAAGUGAAGAGUGAUUCUGCUUGCAAAUGGACAGUGAAGAGAGUGCUUCCCAUCCCUUCGUAUUUGCCUUUGAUGACUAAGAAUGAGGCACAUUGUUGCCUGUGGAGUUAGGAAAACAACUUUCCAAUGACCCACUUUCCCAUAUCUCUUAGCUAUUGCAGCUCAUACAAUCUCAGGGCUGGAAAAGAUCCUAGAAAUGAUCAGACUCACUUUGCAAAAGGACAUGAAAGUCCAGAGAAGCUGUGACUCACCUGAAGUCAGGGAACUCAUCAAUGAGAACAGGAACAGGAGCCUGGGUUACCUACUUUCAAGCUCAGCAGACUUUCCAGCAUACCACCAUGCCUCUCUUCUUGAAUAAUUUCCUGAAGUUCUAAGAAACAUGAGUAGAAUAUACCUGAUACUAAAACAAUAUGAGUAUUUCUGGUAGAAGUAGUAAAUUGCCUGUUUCUAUAUUAGAACAAUGAUUUUAUAAAGAUUAUUAUUACUAAGAAGACAAAGAGAAUAUUUCUGAAAUGUUGACAGUUGGUAUACUUUUCUGGAAUUCCAAUUUGCUUUCCUG
rnacentral:lncRNA from 10 species